GGGAAUCGAUCUUACCGAUUUUCGUCGCGAAGCGACGAAAAUCGGGAUCGAAUCCCACUACGGUAACAUACGAGGGUAUCCAAACAACACAUACUAUCCAAAUAAAAAAAUAUGGAGUUCCGGUUUAGACCAUGGGCGUGCGACGACCCCGAUGAAAUUCGGGAUAUCACGGUCUUCGUUAAUGUUAAUAAGCGUCCGUCAGAUCAGUAGGCGAAACGCAAUAUCCGCACAAUAAGAUGUCUGCGACUCGAAAGAAUAUUCAAAAAUAUGGACGGCACUCCAUUACAGCAUGUGCAUGGUUGGACCUGUUGACAUUUUUAGAAACGCAUCUUGGUCUAUAUACAGAGUAUUGUUGUACUGCUCCAAAGUGCUUGUUGACAGACUGAAACCACUUGCUUGCAGCUCAUAAGGUUCACUUCUUGAGAGCAGGCAGCUACAAAAUGGAAGGUCAACAAAUCCAGUAUAUUUGAAAAGCAAGAAAGAAACACCAGAAAAUAUAAAAAGACAAAAGAACAAGGGAAUUUUAAUAAAAAAAAACUUUUAAG